GGAGCUGUCCUUAGUACGAGAGGACCGGGAUGGACGCACCGCUGGUGUACCAGUUGUCCCGCCAGGGGCACCGCUGGGUAGCUAUGUGCGGACGGGAUAAGCGCUGAAAGCAUCUAAGCGUGAAGCCCCCCUCAAGAUGAGAUUUCCCACCGCGUCAGGCGGGUAAGAUCCCUCGAAGAUGACGAGGUCGAUAGGUCCGAGGUGGAAGCGUGGCGACACGUGGAGCUGACGGAUACUAAUCGAUCGAGGGCUUAACCAAGAA
rnacentral:rRNA from 1 species